CAUGCUGCCUGCCUUGUCAAUUAGCCAACUGCGCACGCCGCAAAUGUCAUUUGUAAUUCAAUGCGGCUUUAGAAGCCAAGGAUUGUGUUUGCAGUUGGUUGCAAAUUGUGGCCAUUUGUGCUAAUAUGAGAAGACUAGUUCAUAAUCUCAUUGGGUGUUUCAUAUUUCAACACUUUCAAUCAGAAACCGAACUAAAUCAAAAUCAAUUCCAGUGUCGAGGCACAAAUUAACUUCAAUGGCUGGCAGGAUCUGGCCUGGUCUGGUCUGGUCCAGGGGCCAUUGUGUACUGAAAGUCGAGACGUGCCCCGUAAUUCAAUAUCAGAGCGUAGGCUGCGGCUGUAACUCCGACCAUGGCACAAAGGUCACAUUUGGCUGCCAGCCUGCUUUUACCUACUACGUGAUUUGCGGCAAUAACUCAUCGGGCUCCAGACGCAAAUCAAGAGACAAAUAAAUCACGAAUACGAAAUUAAUUCACUUUUUUAAUUAAAGCCGAAAUAUAUAGCGCCAGACUUAGCCUAAUGAUACACAUAAGACCUGGCGAGUAUCCUUAG